UACGUAGGGACCAAGCGUUGUUCGGAUUUACUGGGCGUAAAGGGCGCGUAGGCGGCGUGACAAGUCACUUGUGAAAUCUCCGGGCUUAACUCGGAACGGCCAAGUGAAACUGUCAUGCUAGAGUGCAGAAGGGGCAAUCGGAAUUCUUGGUGUAGCGGUGGAAUGCGCAGAUAUCAGGAGGAACACCAAUAGCGAAGGCAGCUCGCUGGGACGUUACUGACACUAAGGCGCGAAAGCGUGGGGAGCGAACAGG
rnacentral:rRNA from 1 species